GGUGUAUUUUUAUGUGCCUAACCAAACUACUUGUGCCGCUACGGUCUCCAAUAAAUUUAUGAACAAGUAAUUUCCCACAAGGUUUACACUUAGCCUUAUUUUGUUAUCUUACUUGACUAAAAAAAUGCCAAACUAAUGAUGUUUCUGUACGUUUAGGAGGUUGUCUGCUAAAAGUGGGAGUUUGUACAGGUGGGUGUGCCGGUUCAUCACCUAAGUUAUGAGCAGGACUAGUAGGUGUAUCAUCUAAAUCUGGUGCUUGGGUGUCAUCAUCAUC
rnacentral:lncRNA from 1 species